rnacentral:tRNA from 1 species
GCCUGGGUGGCUCAGCUGGUUAAGUGUCUGACUUCGGCUCAGGUCAUCAUCUCACAGUUCAUGGGUUCGAGCCCCGUGUCGGGCU